UACGUAGGGAGCAAGCGUUGUCCGGAAUCAUUGGGCGUAAAGAGCGUGUAGGCGGCCCGGUAAGUCCGCUGUAAAAGUCAAAGGCUCAACCUUUGAAUGUCAGUGGAUACUGCCGGGCUAGAGUCCGGAAGAGGCGAGUGGAACUCCUGGUGUAGCGGUGGAAUGCGCAGAUAUCAGGAGGAACACCGGUGGCGAAGGCGGGUCUCUGGGCAGUAACUGACGCUGAGGAGCGAAAGCGUGGGGAGCGAACAGG
rnacentral:rRNA from 1 species